AGUGAACGCUGGCGGUAGGCCUAACACAUGCAAGUCGAACGGCAGCACAGGAGAGCUUGCUCUCUGGGUGGCGAGUGGCGGACGGGUGAGGAAUACAUCGGAAUCUACUUUUUCGUGGGGGAUAACGUAGGGAAACUUACGCUAGUACCGCAUACGACCUACGGGUGAAAGCAGGGGACCUUCGGGCCUUGCGCGAUUGAAUGAGCCGAUGUCGGAUUAGCUAGUUGGCGGGGUAAAGGCCCACCAAGGCGACGAUCCGUAGCUGGUCUGAGAGGAUGAUCAGCCAAACGGGAACUGAGACACGGUCCAGACUCCUACGGAAGGCAGCAGUGGGGAAUAUUGGACAAUGGGCGCAAGCCUGAUCCAGCCAUACCGCGUGGGUGAAGAAGGCCUUCGGGUUGUAAAGCCCUUUUGUUGGGAAAGAAAUCCAGCUGGCUAAUACCCGGUUGGGAUGACGGUACCCAAAGAAUAAGCACCGGCUAACUUCGUGCCAGCAGCCGCAGUAA
rnacentral:rRNA from 1 species